ACGCGCGGAACCUUACCAGGUCUUGACAUCCUCUGACACUCCUAGAGAUAGGACGUUCCCCUUCGGGGGACAGAGUGACAGGUGGUGCAUGGUUGUCGUCAGCUCGUGUCGUGAGAUGUUGGGUUAAGUCCCGCAACGAGCGCAACCCUUGAUCUUAGUUGCCAGCAUUUAGUUGGGCACUCUAAGGUGACUGCCGGUGACAAACCGGAGGAAGGUGGGGAUGACGUCAAAUCAUCAUGCCCCUUAUGACCUGGGCUACACACGUACUACAAUGGCCAGUACAACGGGAAGCGAGGCCGCGAGGUGGAGCCAAUCCUAAAAAGCUGGUCUCAGUUCGGAUUGCAGGCUGCAACUCGCCUGCAUGAAGUCGGAAUUGCUAGUAAUCGCGGAUCAGCAUGCCGCGGUGAAUACGUUCCCGGGUCUUGUACACACCGCCCGU
rnacentral:rRNA from 1 species